rnacentral:sRNA from 1 species
UACAUUAAGUAGUGCAGCACCAAUGCGA